CCCUUAGAUGUUCUGGGCCACACGCGCGUUACACUGAUGAAGCCAGCGAGUAUAUCGCCUUCACCGGAAGGUGCGGGUAAUCUUGUGAAACUUCAUCGUGCUGGGGAUAGACCAUUGCAAUUAUUGGUCUUGAACGAGGAAUUCCUAGUAAGCAUGAGUCAUCAACUCGUGCUGAUUACGUCCCUGCCCUUUGUACACACCGCCCGUCGCUACUACCGAUUGAAUGGUUUAGUGAGGUCUCGGGAUUGGAGACGUUGCGCCGCAAGGCACAUCGUCCUCGAGAACUUGAUCAAACUUGAUCAUUUAGAGGAAGUAAAAGUCGUAACA
rnacentral:rRNA from 1 species